GCACCGCUUCUAAUCGUCUUCGGACAAUAUAUGAC
rnacentral:rRNA from 1 species